AUUGAACGCUAGCGGGAUGCUUUACACAUGCAAGUCGAACGGAGUGUCGGACGGGUGAGUAAUAUAUCGGAACGUGCCCAGUAGCGUGGGAUAACUACUCGAAAGAGUGGCUAAUACCGCAUACUAUUUGAGCGGCCGAUUUCGGAUUAGCUAGUUGGUGGGGUAACGGGUCACCAAGGCAACGAUCCGUAGCUGGUGUGAGAGGACGACCAGCCACACUGGGACUGAGACACGGUCCAGACUCCUACGGGAGGCAGGAGUGGGGAAUUUUGGACAAUGGGGGAAACCCUGAUCCAGCCAUCCCGCGUGUAGGAUGAAGGCCUUCGGGUUGUAAAGUACUGUUGGCAGAGAAGCGGUAUCUGCAGAAUAAGCACAGGCUAACUACGUGCCAGCAGCCGCGGUAAUUC
rnacentral:rRNA from 1 species